AGUAGGAUUAGUUUAAACACCUAAAAAUAUUUGAACACCAACCUGCUGAUAAGUAAGCAAAACUGAGCAACAAGACCAAUUGAUUGUGCGUGUAUUGCCUUAGCUAAUGUGUGGUAACUUGGUCUUGAAAGAGUAAAGUAAAUGAAUACAGGUGCAUAGCUCUGUAAGGAAGAAUAUCAGCAGGCUGGAGAUACAUGGUUUCGGCUGCAGAACAAGCAUCCACGAAAGAUGAUAAAGAAGACAAGAACGUUAAUGUUGCAUUUCCUUCUGGUGUGGAACAAGAAAAACAGCGAGCUGAUGUAGACUUGUCCAAGAUAUGCAGAUUGUGAGGGUGAAAAGGACCAUUCCCCUAAAAUUAUUUUGGCAGGCAGCCAAUCUUUUUGUGAAUCCUCAGAUAAGGACGUUGACCCAACCAAAAGAUGAUCACACUAAUCCGCAAAGCGAAAUUAAUAUU